rnacentral:ncRNA from 1 species
ACAGUACAAACUGAUCAGGCGGUAAACCUGCAAGGGUUUUUGCAGCCGGGCCCCCUUGGGGCAGCAGACAGCGCUUCAACGUCUGUGGGACAGU